UAAAGUUAUAAAAAGAAAAUUUAAAAGACAGAGUCUCUCAUGAGCUGAAGAAAGUCGACAAGGCCUCCUUUUCCACCUUCACCUUCCGCUGUGGGGUGCCAUCGACUACAGUUAAAUGUUUAUCGAGGAGCCUUCUGGAGCACAGCAGUUAUCCCCUGAACGCUUUUCUUUUCUGCAGUUUGUGGUCCUAGAGGAACACCAACAGCCCAAGAAUGGGCGUCUGCCUGCCGCUGGCACGAACGGCGCAGUAGUAGAGGCUGGCCUGUCUUCCUCCCUGUAACUCGGGCCAGUGCACCUGACUUCCUGGAGACAGAAGCCCCGCAUAUAUGAGAUGGGCACAGAGCAAAGCUGCUGGAUUCCACCAUCAAAUGACAAAGGACCCCAGGAAAUGGAGGGGAACCCCCACUUACCCUCCUACAGGGAAUGGCCUCUAGCUGUGUGGGCUGAGAAGAAGCUGCAUUCUCUCCAGUCAGCUAAUGGAUCGAGUCAACAAAGGGCCUCAGACCUGCCCCAGCAAACAGAGCCAGUUCUGUAGAAACUGGGAGCAGACAGAAGGUACCGAAAGUGAAAUAGCAAACCAGGCUGAAGGGUGGUAGAGCGGCAGAUCUGGUACUCCUGUCUCCACGGCUAAUCACUGCUCAGGGUCCUGAAGAUAACUGCAUAGCUGCAUAGCUGCAUAGCCGCGACUUCUGCUUCUUGCUUCAAGCAGUCCCGUUGAAGACGAUCAAAAGAGAAGUGGAGAAAAAUCAUCAGAAACCGAAGUCAAGACGUUCACGUGUUGUAAGCUGUGUCUUCUACCCUGGACUGUUGGGCUCUUUUCCUUGUUGUCUCAGAAGAAAUGGGUUAAAGCAGGCGAUCACAUGCUUUGUUGAUUGCACAGUAGAUGAUAUGAUCUACAUAGAUCUUAGCUCACUCUCACGGAAAGGCUGGAACAUUAUAGAUGCUGCUAAGAUACACUGCAAGUGUGGCCCCUGCUCAUAAUUUUGCCUUCUGAAUUGUGAUUAGUGAAAAUAAUUGUAACUUAGAGUCCGAUUUAUUCAGAAUCAGAGCAUUUAUUUUUAUACUAUGAAAAUCUUUGAAUGAAGAUAUUUAACUUUAAAAACAUUUCCUAAGAGACAACAGUGUUUCUUAAUCAUUGUCUUUUCUUCUUGCAGUCUUUCCCAGUGAAAACGGUAAAUUCUGCUGUUUGCAUAGAAUCUUUAACUUAUUUUUAAGAUAUGAGAUUGUAAACAAAUUGCUUGAUUUAUUUCAAUCAAUUUAUUCUAAUUAUUUAAAUAAAAUCACCCUAAGACAUCAGCAUAA
rnacentral:sRNA from 1 species